CACGAACGCUGGCGGCAGGCUUAACACAUGCAAGUCGAGCGCCCCGCAAGGGGAGCGGCAGACGGGUGAGUAACGCGUGGGAAUCUACCCAUCUCUACGGAAUAACGCAUGGAAACGUGUGCUAAUACCGUAUACGUCCUUCGGGAGAAAGAUUUAUCGGAGAUGGAUGAGCCCGCGUUGGAUUAGCUAGUUGGUGGGGUAAAGGCCUACCAAGGCGACGAUCCAUAGCUGGUCUGAGAGGAUGAUCAGCCACACUGGGACUGAGACACGGCCCAGACUCCUACGGGAGGCAGCAGUGGGUAAUAUUGGACAAUGGGCGCAAGCCUGGUCCAGCCAGGCCGCGUGAGUGAUGAAGGCCCUAGGGUUGUAAAGCUCUUUCACCGGUGAAGAUAAUGACGGUAACCGGAGAAGAAGCCCCGGCUAACUUCGUGCCAGCCGCCGCGGUAACAC
rnacentral:rRNA from 1 species